rnacentral:rRNA from 1 species
GUUUGCCUACGGAAGGCAGCAGUGGGGAAUAUUGCACAAUGGGGGAAACCCUGGUGCAGCGACGCCGCGUGAGUGAAGAAGUAUUUCGGUAUGUAAAGCUCUAUCAGCAGGGAAGAAAAUGACGGUACCUGACUAAGAAGCCCCGGCUAACUACGUGCCAGCAGCCGCGGUAAUACGUAGGGGGCAAGCGUUAUCCGGAUUUACUGGGUGUAAAGGGAGCGUAGACGGCAGGGCAAGUCUGGAGUGAAAGCCCGGGGCCCAACCCCGGGAAUGCUUUGGAAACUGCCAUGCUGGCG